rnacentral:lncRNA from 1 species
CUCCCGGGCUCGCGCCGCUGUCACUGGAGCCCGCAUCCUCCGCCUCCCGCCGCCGCCGCGACCCCGCACCGGGAAUCAAGCCGGCGCGGAAAACCGCAAGAGCUCGCCGCCUUAGGACUGCCACUCCACCCAGGCCUCCUUCUCCUGGGACCCCCCUGGGCCCCACCCCCAGGACCUCCCACCUCUGCACGCCCUGAGUUCGCUUUUCCCAAUGCACUGGGCAGCUUGACUCCACGCCCACCUGACUGGACUGAGAAAACCGAAGAAGUUGGUGAGGGUACAGCAAUAAAUAGCAGGAGGAGCAGAAUUUGAAACAGCAGCAUGCCGGUCCUGCGCCUGGUGAAGGAUGACUCGCCAGAAAGCAAAGGCGCAGACCUACCUCCGCGAGCUUGGCGCGUGGCCCAGGAGGCUCCGCGAGCCCUUGUACGUAAGGAUCGUGGCGCCCACGCUUGAGAGCAGAGCUCAGUGCAAACUUCCAACAGUUCUUCCAGUUUCCAGGGAAACGAGAUUUGGAGCUGCUGCGCGUUGCAGAGCUGCCUCUCUGCUCCCCACAUGGGACCCCUGUGGCUGGCUGGUCUUGAGGAGGAAGGAAUUGAAGCCACCUCAUCCUUGAAGGAGAAUCAGAGAGAUGAUUGAUUCUCCAUGCCUGGCCUCUUUUGUUCCACGUAUGUUUGUGAAGUGUGUCCAUGACGCUGUACACAGCGAUAGCUCACUCAUUGCUGAUAAUGAAGCCCAGCAGCUUACCCAUUUCACUGCAGUAAACAACAUAUUGCUUCUUGUUUGUGUGUCCUGAAUCACGGAGACAUGCACUGUACACUUCCAUGAGUUUGGACAGUUGUCUACAUUUAUACAAACGACCACCUCUGGACUCACUGCUGUUCCAGCUUCUGCAAAUGCUAAGCUCAGCGUUUCCCCACACCAGGUCCGUGUGCUAAAGGUUUUAUUACAGUAUUUCCUAUGCAUGGUUGCAUGCAGUGGACAAUCUUGUCUGCCUGGUUUCAGUGCCUUUCAGACUUGUCCAAACUCUUGCAAGAAUCGAUUGAAUGUACUUAUUGCUGAAUAGAAUUCUAGUAAAAAGUGUUUCUCCAUUCACGACA